AUGCAAGUCAAACGAAGUAGCAAUACCUAGUGGCAGACGGGUGAGUAACAUGUAGGUAUCUGCCCUUUGGCCUGGAAUAACACGAGGAAACUUGUGCUAAUACCGGAUAAGUCUUUACGGAGAAAGCUUUAUGCACCAUUGGAUGAGCCUGCACUUGAUUAGUUUGUUGGUAGGGUAAUGGCCUACCAAGACUUUGAUCAAUAGCUGAUUUGAGAGGAUGAUCAGCCACAUUGGGACUGAGACACGGCCCAAACUCCUACGGGAGGCAGCAGUGGGGAAUCUUGCACAAUGGAGGAAACUCUGAUGCAGCGAUGCCGCGUGAGUGAAGAAGGCCUUUGGGUUGUAAAGCUCUUUCGUCGGGGAAGAAAAUGACUGUACCCGAAUAAGAAGGUCCGGCUAACUUCGUGCCAGCAGCCGCGGUAAUACGAAGGGACCUAGCGUAGUUCGGAAUUACUGGGCUUAAAGAGUUCGUAGGUGGUUGAAAAAGUUGGUGGUGAAAUCCCAGAGCUUAACUCUGGAACUGCCAUCAAAACUUCUCAGCUAGAGUUUGAUAGAGGAAAGCAGAAUUUCUAGUGUAGAGGUGAAAUUCGUAGAUAUUAGAAAGAAUACCAAUUGCGAAGGCAGCUUUCUGGAUCAUUACUGACACUGAGGAACGAAAGCAUGGGUAGCGAAGAGGAUUAGAUACCCUCGUAGUCCAUGCCGUAAACGAUGUGUGUUAGACGUUGGAAAUUUAUUUUCAGUGUCGCAGCGAAAGCGAUAAACACACCGCCUGGGGAGUACGACCGCAAGGUUAAAACUCAAAUGAAUUGACGGGGACCCGCACAAGUAGUGGAGCAUGUGGUUUAAUUCGAAGAUACGCGCAGAACCUUGCCAACACUUGACAUGUUCGUCGCGACUUUAAGAGAUUAAAGUUUUCGGUUCGGCCGGACGAAACACAGGUGCUGCAUGGCUGUCGUCAGCUCGUGUC
rnacentral:rRNA from 1 species